AAAAGACCGGAUUCCGAACCGGUGAGGGAACGAAAAGCUCGGGUCACGAACCGGAUUAGAUACCGGUAGUCCGAGCUGUAAACGAUGUCUGCUAGGUGUGGCACAGGCUACGAGCCUGUGCUGUGCCGUAGGGAAGCCGUGAAGCAGACCGCCUGGGAAGUACGUCCGCAAGGAUGAAACUUAAAGGGAUUGGCGGGGGAGCACUACAACCGGAGGAGCCUGCGGUUUAAUUGGACUCAACGCCGGACAUCUCACCAGCAUCGACAAUGUGCAGUGAAAGUCAGGUUGAUGACCUUACUGGAGCCAUUGAGAGGAGGUGCAUGGCCGCCGUCAGCUCGUACCGUGAGGCGUCCUGUUAAGUCAGGCAACGAGCGAGACCCGCACUCCUAAUUGCCAGCAACACCUAGCGGUGGUUGGGUACAUUAGGAGGACUGCCAGUGCCAAACUGGAGGAAGGAACGGGCAACGGUAGGUCAGUAUGCCCCGAAUGUGCUGGGCGACACGCGGGCUACAAUGGCCGAGACAGUGGGAUGCAACCCCGAAAGGGGGCGCUAAUCUCCGAAACUCGGUCGUAGUUCGGAUUGAGGGCUGAAACUCGCCCUCAUGAAGCUGGAUUCGGUAGUAAUCGCGCCUCAGAAGGGCGCGGUGAAUACGUCCCUGCUCCUUGCACACACCGCCCGUCAAAGCACCCGAGUGGGGUCCGGAUGAGGCCGACGCAACGUCGGUCGAAUCUGGGCUCCGCAAGGGGGCUUAAGUCGUAACAAGGUAGCCGUAGGGGAAUCUGCGGCUGGAUCACCUCCU
rnacentral:rRNA from 1 species